rnacentral:rRNA from 1 species
CGCAUCUGUGCAUGCAGCAUAUCAAUAAGCGGAGGAAAAGAAACUAACAAGGAUUCCCUUAGUAACGGCGAGUGAGGCGGGAAGAGCUCAAAUUUGAAAUCUUCAAGGUUCUACCUUGACGAAUUGUAGUUUAAAGAAGUGUUUUCUGUUGAGGUUUUGGUAAAAGUUCUUUGGAAUAGGACAUCAUAGAGGGUGAGAAUCCCGUAUUUGACCUUUACUUUCAACUUUGUGAUACACUUUCAAAGAGUCGGAUUGUUUGGGAAUGCAGUCCAAAAUGGGUGGUAAAUUUCAUCUAAAGCUAAAUAUUGGCGAGAGACCGAUAGCGAACAAGUACCGUGAGGGAAAGAUGAAAAGGACUUUGAAAAGAGAGUUAAACAGUACGUGAAAUUGUCAAAAGGGAAGCGUUUGACACCAGUGUUGUUUUUCUGAAAAUCUAUUAAAGAACUGUUUAUGCUAAGUUGUUUAGACUUUAUCAGCUAACUGUUUAGUUUUGAGCUUUUCUUUAAUGCACUUUUCAGUUAACAAGUCAACAUCAAUUUCUUUUGCUGCAAAAAAGCUUGAGGAAGGUGGCUUGAGAUUCGUCUUAAGUGUUUAUAGCCUCUUGCCUAUGCAGUCGGAGAGAUUGAGGUCUGCGGCGUAGAUCCUUCGGGGCUAAAUGCAUUUGUGCUAAGUUAUAACAUUUUAUAGACAACUUGUUGACUAUGAUUUGUCUUGUAGCUUACUCGCUUAUGUUAUUUUACCUACGCUUAGGAUGUUGAGCGCGUGUGUGCGUGAGUCUAUACAUGUCUCUGUGCAUAUCAAUAAGCGGAGGAAAAGGCUGCGGAACUGAACGACCGCUACCUACGCUUAGGAUGUUGAGCGCAUGUCUCUCUCU